AUUGAACGCUGGCGGCAUGCUUUACACAUGCAAGUCGAACGGCAGCGCGGGGCAACCUGGCGGCGAGUGGCGAACGGGUGAGUAAUAUAUCGGAACGUACCCAGAAGUGGGGGAUAACGUAGCGAAAGUUACGCUAAUACCGCAUACGAUCUACGGAUGAAAAUAGGGGACCGCAAGGCCUUAUGCUUUUGGAGCGGCCGAUAUCUGAUUAGCUAGUUGGUGAGGUAAAGGCUCACCAAGGCGACGAUCAGUAGCUGGUCUGAGAGGACGACCAGCCACACUGGAACUGAGACACAGUCCAGACUCCUACGGGAGGCAGCAGUGGGGAAUUUUGGACAAUGGGCGCAAGCCUGAUCCAGCAAUGCCGCGUGAGUGAAGAAGGCCUUCGGGUUGUAAAGCUCUUUUGUCAGGGAAGAAACGGUAGAGGCUAAUAUCCUUUGCUAAUGACGGUACCUGAAGAAUAAGCACCGGCUAACUACGUG
rnacentral:rRNA from 1 species